UUGGCCUACUACCUUUUGAGUUUUUUCUUGGUUUUAUACAUGUCAAGCAACAUCUUUGAUGGCUGCACAUUUAUUUCACUUCCAGAUAUACACUACAGUCUUUUAACCAUUGCCAGAGUUCUCUGUAGGUUAAGGAACCCUUUUUUUGCCAUACAGAUAUGUCUGUGCCUUCUAGUAUUGCUUCUGAUGGCUAAGCGCCACCACUUUGUUUUCUGCUAUUCCGGAACUCUGUCAGCUUCAUUGACACUAGGGGCCUUUGUCUCAUGGAACUGUCUCCUUCUGUCAAUUCUGUACAGCAGAGGAUAGCCAUACUGCACUUCUCAAAAACGUUAGUGUUUUCUUCAAUAAUGCAUGCCUCCUUGGAUGCAGAAACCCAGAUCUCCAGGUGUGCCUAAAGAAUCUUGGGGAUGUGUCUUCUGAAGCUAAAGAGACCCCUAAGCAUCCUGCAAAAUACCAGUGCACAACAAUUUGGGACAUAGCUUAAGCUUUCUGCUCGAUGCUGGCGACAAAGAGGAGAAAGACAACUUCUACUCUCAGACAACUUAGUCUGCUUUAGGAGUUACAAACACAGACAAUUUCAACACUGGAUGAAAAUGAUGGGACAAAGGUAAAAGGAGAGAGGAAUGCAUCUCAGCUGAGUUUCAGAAAAAAAAAAAGUUUUGAAGAGAUCUCAAUGUUAGGAAGCCAACAAGGCCUGCAAAAGUCACCUAGAUCAUGAAAUUGACUAUGUCAGGGGAGGCAAUUCGUCACAAUCGUGUUUGAAAAUGAGGAUAAGCAUGGAGAGCCAAUGAUUACAUUUCACAAUGUCCUUCAUGG
rnacentral:lncRNA from 1 species